CCGGCUCUUUUUAGAGAAUCUCGUUCGGCUCCCAAAUGGCUCUUCUGAUUCUUAAAUUAAUUUAUCACCAACAAUAAUGUAAAAUUAUGCGCAAUAUGAAUUACUAAUGUAAAAAACCCCACUAUCAAAUGAUUAUAUAAAUACUUAUUUUAUACACACAAGAAAAAAAAACUGAGAUUUACAUCAAGACCAAGUGCCUCAGCUUUGGUUGGAAAUCACAUGUAAUCAUUUUGGCCAGUUCUUCAUCAAUUCAUAGACCAACGUCCGUUGCUCUCUUGUGACUCGCCUCCCUCUCUCCUGUUCGUGUGCUUGCUGUGUGCGUAACUCCCGCUCCUCCCCCCUGUGCUCAGCGGCGCACCCAACACACACACACACACACACACACACACACACACACACACACACACACACACAGGUAUGCAUUAGGUGGACUUUUCGCCAUACAGGCCCGGUUGUAGUCACUCAGCUCACUUUAGAUUUCAGAUACAAACUACACAACCUCAUACACAGCAACCUAAUUAUACUGUGGUAUAGGUAGACAUUUCUAUUUUGACCAAAGUAUGACUUAUAAGGACCAAAAAAACACUGUUGGGUCUUUGAAGGGACAAUGAUCCCGCCCACCUCAUUAACAUAAAUACACACAGACAGGACACAGCAUUACUGGAACCAUCAAUUUAAUAUAAAAAAUAAUGUUAACGGAUGGCCAAAUUAGGCCCCUCCAAAGUGACAGUAUGUGUAGAAAUCGAUCUAUACUAUCUAAAGAUCCAUCUAUGCAGAGGGAAUCAGCGAGUGCCUCUACAACCUGGCUUCAAUCUCUGGCUUUCAUUUAACAACGAGCUGGGGUUAUUUUUUUACUACUGUCCCACUCAGGACACAAGGAACCAGACUAGUGCGCUUUUGUAAACAAUUGUUUCAUACAAACGGACGAUAGUGCUUUUGUAAACAAUUGUUUCAUACAAAAGCACUAUAGUCCGUUUAUCAUACAAACUGAGGAGCCAGACUAGUGCUUUUGUAAAACAAGUCCUGUUUAACAAACAACCGAAAAGAACGACAGAGCGAUGGGCAAGACAUACAUAAUGAACAUUUCUUUCACCGCACUAUGGAAACUUACCUCAAGACAAUGAAGGGGAAAACGUGUACAAACUUGAAGAUUUCAGCCAUUAAGAAUUUAUGACGUCUCUUGACAGUAUUAGAGUAUUAUUACAUUAUGAUGAGGUGAAUGACAUGUGCUUGUAUACCUUUGUAUGUCAACAGAUUAGAAGACUGCCCGUGCCGUGGGAUAAAAGGAUGUAGAACAAAUAAAAUAAGUGUAUGUUUGUUUACAGUCUUUUUUCAGCUGUUCCGAUUACGGACGAACUCUCUGACAUUUUGCACAGUUCUUUGUUCCAAGACGGGUCCUUCCACCAACUUGCAGUGACUGCAUUCGUUCUUGGUGGCCAGGUGACCUUUACGAAUAUGGGUCUUUGAAGUGCCGCAUUACUGCUUGAACCUCAACUUUAGACCACGCUCUCUUUGUCCCUCUUCUGGACCCACCAUUUUUUCCUGGAAGAUACACGAAGUAGACAUAAACGAUCACACAAAAAUAAUUAUUGUUUUGCCUUCUUUCUUCUAUACCUUGUAGCAGUGCCAUUUUGUGUCCAAUUUAAGUACUUUAAAAAGAUGCUCUACCAUCAAACUUGGCAUACCUUCAGAGAGAGGGUAGCUCUCAUCUACUGGACGACACGCUUCCUUCUAAAACACAAAUUUCACUUUAUUUUCAAAUUUAAUUUAUCAUCAAAAGACUUUCCUUAAUAUUUCUGAAGAUAUUAACGAUAAACAUCAAACCAAAGGGAUCAAGUAAAAACUGAAUAGUCAAUACAGAACAAGUUUGAUAUUUCAUUGUAGCAGCAUGUCUUUUGUUCCCCAUCAACCAACAAAAACCAUUGUCAUAUUGAAAAAUCAAUUUGUAAAAUCAUUUCCUUUAGGAGAACUUUACCUUGCUAGAAUGUCAGCUCAUUCGCAGUAAAGGAGAAAAAGUCUGUCUCCUCUGACAUUCUUUAUGGUUUAUUAGUUAACCUCUAUAUUCUUCUCCUUUAUCAAAUGGAGCCGAGGUGAAGAUGCCGCGACCUAUUUCAUACACAGACAGAAAAAACAUCUGUCAAGCUUAUUCAUAUUUUAAUUAGGAUUACAAAAUCCAAACAUUCAACUUACUUAAGGCUUUGACAUAUUUGACGUCAAGUCCCACUUUGUCCCCUCCAGUAUCAAUGUAAAAUUUGCCAUUAUCCUUCUGAUUUAAGAGUCCUCGCCGAUGCAUAUUUUCUUACUGAAAUGAUCAAAGAAGGCUAUCAGGAUAAUUAUCUUUAUUUAUAGAACAAGCACGAUCAGAAAACAUUCUAUAGCCAUUUAAACCAGUAAUAAACGGAGAUAAAAUAAGAAAAUCUCUUAACAGCGCCAUUCAAAUUUUUAUUUGACACUGCUUCACAAUUUAAGAAUAUCUUUAUACUAUGUAAGAUUAACUGUAGAACAGCGGUUCCCAAACUCAAGAAUGCCGUGGCCCACUUUGAAAUCUGAAAAUCUUUAAUCACAACUCUGAUCAAAACAUAAACUAGGGAUGAUUAAAUGACCAUAAGAAUUUAAUUUUGAUUCAAAAUGUAUUAACCGACUAUGUAUGUUUUGUAUACCAUUUUCUCCGGAGCUCAUGUGCCGUGUUUUCCGCACAAUAAGGCGCAUAAGAUACUGCAGUCUAUCAGCGCAAAUCACUGUCAAAAUUCGAGAGCGCAAAUCAGGUUGAUGCGCGCGUAAAUCAAACAUCCGCGAGCAAAUCUGUCUCACGCGAAAUAUGUGCUGCUCGUGCUCGAAGGUGUUUCCUACGCGCUCGCUGUUUCUCUUUUUGACAGUAAGGGGGCGGAGCCAGUCACCAUGGUACCUACAUCUAAUUGGUUACAAACCCCGUCUUUGGAUUGGCCGGAGUUAUGCAUUCACACAACUAUAGAAGCCCAUUUCCGCACGAAAGAAAGGGGAUAGAAAUUUGAUUAUUUAUGAGAUAAAACGUUGUCAAAUAACAAACGCCCCGCUUCGGUAAUCGUAGUGGACCGUAGAUGACAACCAGCUACAACCAUCAUUCACCAUCAUUAUCAUCGUUUUUAUAGUUGUGUGAAUGCAACACUCCAGCCAAUCCAACGACGGGGUUUGUAACCAAUUCGAUGUAGAGACCAUGGUGACUGGCUCCGCCCCCUUACUGUCAAAAAGAGAAACAGCGAGCGCGUAGAAAACACCUUCGAGCGCGAGCAGAGAUUCGCCCUGCGAGCGAGCAAAUAUCUCGUGCGAGACGGAGAUUUUCUCGCGGAUGUUUCAAGGGGCGCGCGCAUCAACCUGAUUUGCGCUCUCGAAUUUUGACAGUGAUUUGCCGCCAUAUUAAUUCUUUUAAAAGUGAUAUUCGAAUCAAAUCCAUAUGUUGGCAUAACAGGUUUUGCAAUAGUAACAGAUUUCUAGCGACACGAUCAAGCAUAAAGUGUCACGGUGCUUUAAUAAUUGCUUGUGUUUGAUGUCAAUGAUCACCCACAAAACAACCACAGGGGCGGAAAUCAAAAUUUCAAAGCGGUAAAAGCGUUGAGAAAAUGACUCCUCCUUAUUGGUUAGCUAGUCUAAAAUAUUAAACUUUUCCCAACUUUGUGAAAGAAAUUGGGAGACACCAGAUUUUCUUAAUCACAGCUUGAAUGCGGGGAGGCGUACAAAUCUUCCUUUCCUAAACUUUGUAUGACCUCAGAUAAUUCCAACCAAAGUAUUGUUUAGGGAAUAAAAUGCAGUGUGCUGUGUAUUUCCCUAAGACUGUUUCCCCUCUAUCCUCUGCUCUUCUGUGGCAGUGAAAGCACAGUAUCUUCUGAAGUGAGAUCAGGAGGAGAACUCAUCCUAUUGCACGUGUGAGGUCUCUCCUUGCAUUUCUCCAACUGGUCCCUAUUAAAAAUUUAUAUUUCUCUGAGUGCAAAGUAAAUGCGGAUUAUAAAAAGAAAAGAAGCGCACUAUGAAAUGUGCUUGAGAGGAGUGCUCAGAGGAAAGCACACACCAAUCGAAAGACCUCCAGGUCAGCACAAAUAUCUUGGAGAUGACGAGAGUUACAUUUUGUGCAUUUCUACGAAGCCCUAUUUGCCCACAGUAUAAAAACAUCCCCAUCAAAGUAGCAUGGUGGAAAUGAAGCUCCUGUUCAAGGCAGGAGAACAGCUGAGAGUCCGAGACCAGUAGUCAGGCCAAACUUAAGCUUCUUUAUUGGUUUCCCGUGGUCAUUACUAUUUCAUCCAAGGUCACAAAUGGUCAGUCAAUGGAGUCAUCAUCCAUACAUUCUGGUAGAAAUUCACCAUAAUAAAACCAAGUGUCCUAUUUCACAUUUUCAAUGUAAUGCGCUAAUUGUCAAUUAACAGCUCAGCCUUAAAUUUUGGAAAAUUGAGGCAGGAAAGAAAGCGGGAGCCAAACGACGGACACAGUUGGAUGGAUAUUUGUCCUCCUCAGUAAUGCGUGUACAUACAUUAUGCAAUAAACAAGUGUGAAAGGGAAAUCUGUGAAACCUACAAGUAUGGAAAUGGUAAUCAGAUCCAACCAUUACCGUUGAGUGAGUUUUUUUAUUCUCAAUUACAACUAACCUUGAUGCCUCCCCCCGUGGGCUACGGCGUUCGAUUGCUCCAUGUCCACUUUGUGUGUGAGGCGAUAAGCACGGUCCACUCUCUUAACAAACACGGCUUGAGCUGUUUGCAUGUGGCUAUCUGGGAGGCAGGUGUGCAGGGAGGCUUUGACUUUUCAAGCCGUAUUCAAACAAAGACAGAUUACAUCUAUUCUUCCAGCGCCAGAGGGGCUUAUUUAACACAGGUUUGACACAUCUGUACGCAGCAGAAUGGACUGAGAUAAAAUGGAGAGGAGUGCGGGGGGUAAUACUGAGCUGACCAGAUAUGGAAAUGUGGGCAAUGUGUUAAAGCAACAUGGUGACGAGAUGAAGCGUGGCGGUGAUUGACAGCCUGGGGGGGAGACGUACGCUGUAGACGAGGAAAAAGAGAGAGAGAGGCAGAGAAGGGGGGAAGCACAUCUUACUUUACUCAUGGACUUGUCGAUACUCCUACAGGCUCUUUAAGAAUGGCGCUAGACGCUAUUGCUCUUCUGGAAAAAAGAAUGCCAACAAGAAGGAAGUCUGCUCCUUGGUUUAACCCUCAAACCCGGAACCUACAGCAAACUGCGCAAACCAAAUCAGAAGGAUCUAGGCUAGUUUGGCAAGACAGCCUUAAAACAUAUAAGGCGCUCUGUAAUGCAACAGCAUCUUUUUACUCAUCAUUAAUAGAGAAAACAACUCCAGGUUUCUCUCCAGCGCAAAGACUGACAGUCACAGCUCUGUCGAGCCACGUAUUCCUUUGAACCUCAGUAGUAACUAGGAUUGUCACAAUACAAAAAUGAUGACUUAGAUACCUGCCAAAAUAUUACAGUACCCGAUACUUACGAUAUGAUACUGGAAUAUUUACCUUUGAUAGUAAUAAAUAAAACAUCUGUAAGGUUCCCUUUCUUACCUGGCAUCUGUUUGACUGUGGGAUAAACAAUGCUUCAUUUACUUGCAUAAAGAUGUUUAUUCUCACAUUUGUAUUUCCUUGACCUAAUUCUUUGUAUUUUUAGUUAAGAUCCACCCUCAGACUCCACCAGCAUGUAGCCUAUUGGAUCAAGUGUGUAUUAUUUGGUACAAUUUUGUGUGCAUUCUGACCUCAUGAUCAUCAUAGGCCCACAUGAGUGAAAUUGUAGGUUAUUUUUGCUUGCUUGCUUGAUGUUUGACUGUUAGGAAAGUUGUUGUCUAGCGAGCCAACAAAGCUACAGGCUGCCAACUCUCACCGUUUCCUCGUGUGACGCACGCGUUUGCAUGUUUUCACACGCACUCAUGCCACACAUCCAACUUCUUAGGCAAAAAAAAAAUCUGCGUCGGUAUCGCCGAUGGUAAAUGGCGCAUCUGUAACCCGAUACGCUGCACGUAGCAUAACUUACACCCCCCGUCAGCCACAGCGCUCCCCCCCGACAACAUCUCCCUCUGUAGCGAUCACAAUAACAUUACAAAGAAGCCGACGCGAGAGCACUUAAUACUAUCAUCAGUGUCCGAGCGUGCUAUAACAAGCUUGAUAACAUCACUAACGAGAAGUCUUGCUAGCGGCUAAACUUAGCAAAACCUGUUCGCUUACUUUGUUUAUGACAAACUAGCAAGUCAACAAUUUUCCAAACAUAGUCAAACAUCAAGCAAGUGCAACACAAGACAAAGCAGACGUCCUCUUUUACCUUGACAUUUCAAGUAGUUCAUUUAAAAUAGGACGUCUGGUCACCCAAGCUAAGCUAGUCUAAGGCUACGCGUGUUAGUCUGCUACAGGAGGGCACGUCUGCCCUGAUAACUCGCUGUCAGAGACAGUGAAAGCCUGACAGGAAGCGCGCUCUGAUUGCCUGCCUGAUUUUAUGUUUUCAAGCCCGUCCCAUUCCCCACUUGCCAUGAAGGAGAAGUUGGUGCUGGUGCUGUGGUAAGCAUGUUUUUUCACAAAAAUGUUUUUUGCAUGUAAAAGUAAAUUUUCUUGAUUCAGGUAGAAAAAUGUAUAUCAUACAUGUUGAUGAACUUCCAACAUAAAACCAUGUGGUUGAUGCUAGCUGAAGAUUAGCCUGAAUUGCUAAGAGAUGUGUUUUUUUCUAAAAUAGUGGCUGUGGGGUAAAGUGAGAAAUGCUGAAGCACAAGUUAAGUUCAGUCUUAAACAUAUUUUAGUGUAAAAUUACAUUACAUGUUUUAUUUUUAAUGUAGAAUUGUAGAAAAGCAAUCAUGCCAAGAAACUACACCAGGAAGACAACCUGGGGCCCAACACCCCUCGCAGAGAUGGAGAGUGCAGCCGCUGAGGUCAUGCAAGGAAAGAAGUCCUUAAGAAAAAGCUGGAAGGGAUAGAAAUAUUGACAAGACAACCCUACAAAGAUUCAUAAAGAAAAAAGAGAAAGGGGAAGUAAAAUCAGUAGCCUGGGGUGCAGUAGCCGAGGCAAGGAGAAUAUUCACAGAUGAGAUGGAGGAGGAGCUUGCCAAACACUUGAAACAACUAGCUGACCAGUUCCAUGGCCUUGCUCCAGUUAAGUGCCGUGAACUGGCAUUUGAAUACGCAGAGAAAAACAAUAUCCCUGUCCCUGCCAAUUGGACAGAGAAACAAUGUUCAGGUAGGCUAGGGUGUGCAAGAGAUCACUUGAUUCUGUAGGUUAACUGAUCUUGCCACAAAGCUAAAUCUUAUAAUAAAGAAUUCUCUACUCUUUAGGAGAAGAGUGGUUUGGCAGCUUCCUAGCACGUCGCCAGCUCUCUGUCCGUACUCCGGAGGCAACAUCCCUGGGAAGGGCUACAGCCUUCAAUAAAACUACAAUGGGCUGUAGUGAUGGACAGGUGACAUAAUUCAUUAUUUAGUUGCAAAUUGUUUAUGGAGGCUUUACCUGUAAGAUAGUUUGGUUCUUGCCUAUCUUCUUUAACAGGUACACAUUCCCUCCACACAUGAUUUACAAUGUGGAUGAAACAGGUGUCUUUACAGUACAAACGCCACGGCAGGUAGGCUACACAUGAUACACUAGAGAGCACCAGACUGAUACUGAGUGGCUUGUGAUAAUGACCAGCUAGCUAUUGGCAGAAUGCUAAAACUAAUGAUAUUAGUAAUGUUGUGAACUGGAAAAAAAAAAUGAAUGGACUGAAACUAAAUACAAUGCACCUUUAGAACAAUAGUAGCCUACUGAUUGCAGAUGCCAUUGAUUCUAAACUUUCUAUUUGAUUCAGGUUGUGACAGAGAAAGGAAAAAAGCAAGUUGGUUCUAUCACAUUGGCUGAGAGAGGAGAACUGGUGACUGUAGUGUGUGCAGUGAAUGCUGCUGGGAAUGCCAUACCUCCAAUGUUUAUCUUCCCCAGAGUUAGGAUUAAGGACCACUUCAUGAUAGGAGCACCUCCUGGAGCCAAAAGGUGCCUCCACCAGAACAGGAUGGAUGAAUGAAGACACCUGGCCUGAGUUCCUUGAUCACCUGAUACAGCACACUAAGUGCACUCCUGACCAUCCCAUGCUGCUAAUCCUUGAUAAUCUUAAAGCUCACAUCUCACUCAAGGCAGUAGAAAAAGAAAAGAGCAACGGUAUUGUUCUGCUCACCCUUCCACCCCACACAUCCCAUCGCAUGCAGCCUCUCGACGUGACCGUGUAUGGCCCGUUCAAGACCCUAUACAGCAGAGCUCUUGAUGGGUGGAUGAGAUCUAACCCUGGCAAAACAGUCUCCAUCUACGAGUUUGCAGGACAUGUGAAUGAGGCCUUCUUAUCAGCAGUGACACCACGGAAUAUCACUUCUGGAUUCAAGGAUUUUCCCAUAUAACCGAGAUAUUUUCCCUGAGGAAGCGUUUGCACCAUCCAUGGUGUCAGACCGGCCAAAUCCUGAGCUGCAGCCUGCAUCCACUGGUCCAUCCACUUCAGAUGAUCCGACUGAUCCACCCGCUGCAGAUGAUCCACUCGCUGAUGCAGGUCCAUCCACUGCGCAUGGUCCACAUGGAUGUGCCUCGCCAGCUGACUCAGAUGUGCCACGUGUUCCCAGCCGACCUGGAUAUGUGUCUCCUCGGGAAAUCCUACCACUUCCCAAAUGUCCCCCCAGAGCACAAACCAAGAGAAAGCGUGUGAAGACAGCCAUCCUAACUGAUACUCCUGAGAAGCAGACACUAGAAAAGGCUUAUGAAGAGAGACAAAAGGAACUGGCAGGCAAAAAGCAAAGAAAAGGGACAACCGAAAAGGAAAGCACCCAAAAAGUUCUGAGGAUGAUCCUGGAAACGCAGAUCUGUCCGUGGGUGACUUUGUCCUAGUUAACUUUGCAACCAAACACAGGAGUCUCUGUUACAUUGGCAUGGUUGAGAAAGUUGAGGAUGACGAAGUUCUUACACAAUUCCUCAGAAGAAUCCAGGAAAACAAGAAAGAGUGGGAGAGACCCACGUUUGCUGUAAAGGAAAAUGAUCUGGCACAUGUUCCUAAAAGGUGAUGUGGUGAAGAAGCUGCCUCAACCUAAUAGGCCUGGAGGAACCACACGGAGAGAGCAACUCUUCACCUUUCCCUGUAACCUUCAGGGCUGGAAUGUAGGGUAGGCCUUGUUAUAGAGUAUGAGGCUGAUGUUCUAAUCCAGGUGGGUCUAGUCGUGUGUUCUGAGUCUCAGGCUGUUCUAGCUGGUUCUAAUUAUGGUCCCAUGACUGUUCUAAUGUAACUGGUUCUAUCUGCCAUUUGAAUGCUAAUAAAACCAUUUUGAAUUAUAUUAUGUUGUAUAUGAUUUUGUUCGGAGUUACUUUCAAGUGUUUAAACAAAAAAUGUACUUACUUGACCAAUCCCCAUGAUUCUGUUACUAGUCCGAUAUUAGUUCUCCUUCAGGGACUACCGCUGCGUGUAAUCGCAGUGGGAACGCCCUCAGCGUGACGCGUCUGAAGCAUGAAUGAAAUCAGUCAAUGGAGAGAAAGAGCGUACGGCGAGUGACGUCAUCGACCAGGAAGCUGUAAAUAUCCCCAGAGCACACAACACGCCAGCUUUUUUUACUUCAGCAGCUCGGUAUGUGUGUCUGAAUCUGUCGAUUGUGUUUGUCUGUUCUGUCAGGAGUUUAUCACUAUAUAUUUAUAUAUAUAUAAAAAACCAAUAUGAGCGAGCAGUAUAAGAAGUGUGUUCCUCCCUGUACUCGAUAUAUCACGGGUGGGGAUUCACACAAGUUAUGUGUGGCUUGUUUGGGUGUUCAACAUGCCCAGUCGGCUCUUGAGGGAGUCGACUGUAAGCAUUGCGAACGCUUUCCUCUUAGAACUCUGCGCUCGCGGCGAUCGCUCUUUGAGGAGAGUGGUAUGCUGCGAGCUCCCCAAGGCUCGGGUCCCGCUUCUGUUGAGGCAGAGCGGCGGCGCUUGUCUUGGGGUUCGCAGAUGGAUCUCACCGGCGAUGUUGCGACAGGCCCCGCCCUGUCUCAGCCUUCUCCGGCGGGAUCCAGUGCCUUUCACCCGGUUUCGGAAGCACGCGCUGCGGCGGUUACUUCUGCCCAGGUGGAGGCACAUGAUGAUGUUGAAUUGAGAUUAUCCAGUUCUGAGGAUCUGGAUGUCGAAAGUUUUGCAUCAGAGGAAACUAGUGUCUCACAUUAUACUGCAAAUGAAGAAGGUUUGAUGGAUGUGUUAUCUCGCGCUGUUGAAAAGCUCAGUAUCGAGUGGCCAGCUGAUAGACAGGAUUCUAAAAUUAGAAGCAAACUUGAUGAUAGAUUUCUGUCUGCACGACCUCAACCUUCUCGCCGGUGCUUACCGUUCUUCCCAGACCUUCAUGAUGAGGUUUCAAAUACCUGGGUUAGACCGGUUUCUAGCAGAAUUUACACGAAUCAAUCUAAUGCUUAUGGAAACAUUUUUGGUGCAAAAUCUGCUGGUUAUGUGACAAUGCCGAAGGCGGAGGAGACGCUCGCGAGCUAUCUCUCUCCUGCUUCUUCGGUUUCACUUAAAGCACCGGCUCUUCCAUCUAGACCACUAAAAAAUACCUCUGUGCUGGUGGGGAAGGCUUACUCGGCUGCUGGGCAGGCGGCUGCGUGUUUGCACACUAUGGCUAUUAUGCAGGCUUAUCAGGCCGACCUGCUCAAAGAUGUUUCUGAAGGGGGUGAAAUUUCGGCUGAUAUGAUUAGCGAACUUAGGCAGACUGCUGAUCUCACUCUGCGUGCCACCACUAAAUCUAUUGGUCGAUCUAUGGCAGCCAUGGUGGCCACAGAAAGGCACUUAUGGUUGAGUCAGACAUCUAUGAAGGAAAGAGAUAAAUCUCUCCUUUUAAAUGCUCCUGUUUCACCUGCGGGCCUCUUCGGUGACGCUCUUCACUCGGUCACGGAGAGGUUCCAGGAAGAGAAAAAACAGGCGGCUGCUUUUUCUAAAUUUAUCCCUCUCAAGAUACGUGUCACUGGGGCUGCUGAGCGAAAAGGGCAGUCCCAGCCGUCGAGUUCUUCCUCUUCAAAAAGAGCACAGCAGAAGCGGAGUGUCGCGUCUCGUGCCCCCCCGCAGGGAAACUGGAGGGACGAGGCGGGGCGCUCUCCGGCGCGGCCUUCUCGGGGCAGGACUGAUCUGAGGACAGUCAUUGUCGCCAGGAAGGCCGCGUCGAAAAAGUCCUGACGGGCUGAACGUCAGGACUCUGAGGGUGGUCCCCAUCGGGAGAGACUUGAGUUCACCGCACAAGAACACGGUGCCCUGUCUUUCCCGAUGCCCUCAGGGGUCUGUUCUACUAACCCUGCCUACACAGGGCGUAGAGAGACUCGGCGAGCGAUUUCCCGAGGGACGCUCGCCCCCUCCGAGGAGGGUUGUGGAGUGUUCAGACCAGCUGUUUCCUGCCAGUAUGUUACAGGGCGCUGUGUCUGUCACUCGGGAUGUUCAUCCAGAGACCAGCCUCGAGAGGCUGGUUCCCUUAGUAGAGUUCC
ensembl:lncRNA